rnacentral:piRNA from 1 species
UGGGAAUGGAUGAGGUGCUACACAAAUGA